rnacentral:rRNA from 1 species
GUUCCAGACUCCUACGGGAGGCAGCAGUGGGGAAUAUUGCACAAUGGGGGAAACCCUGAUGCAGCAACGCCGCGUGAGUGAAGAAGUAUUUCGGUAUGUAAAGCUCUAUCAGCAGGGAAGAAAAUGACGGUACCUGAGUAAGAAGCCCCGGCUAACUACGUGCCAGCAGCCGCGGUAAUACGUAGGAGGCAAGCGUUAUCCGGAUUUACUGGGUGUAAAGGGAGCGUAGACGGUGAUGCAAGUCAGAAGUGAAAGCCCGGGGCUCAACUCCGGGACUGCUUUUGAAACUGUGUGGCUGGAGUGCAGGAGAGGUAAGCGGAAUUCCUGGUGUAGCGGUGAAAUGCGUAGAUAUUAGGAGGAACACCAGUGGCGAAGGCGGCUUACUGGACUGUAACUGACGUUGAGGCUCGAAGGCGUGGGGAGCAAACAGGAUUAGAUACCCGCGUA